rnacentral:rRNA from 1 species
UACGGAGGAUGCAAGCGUUAUCCGGAUUCAUUGGGUUUAAAGGGUGCGUAGGCGGCUAUUUAAGUCAGUGGUGAAAUCCUGUCGCUCAACGAUAGAACUGCCAUUGAUACUGAAUAGCUUGAGUACAGUUGAGGUAAGCGGAAUGUGUAGUGUAGCGGUGAAAUGCUUAGAUAUUACACAGAACACCGAUUGCGAAGGCAGCUUACUAAACUGCAACUGACGCUGAUGCACGAAAGCGUGGGGAUCGAAC